rnacentral:rRNA from 1 species
UACAGAGGUCCCAAGCGUUGUUCGGAUUCACUGGGCGUAAAGGGUGCGUAAGCGGUCGGGUAAGUCUGAUGUGAAAUCUCACAGCUUAACUGUGAAACUGCAUUGGAUACUAUCCGGCUCGAGGAAUGGAGGGGAGACUGGAAUACUUGGUGUAGCAGUGAAAUGCGUAGAUAUCAAGUGGAACACCAGUGGCGAAGGCGAGUCUCUGGACAUUUCCUGACGCUGAGGCACGAAAGCCAGGGGAGCAAACGGG